rnacentral:rRNA from 1 species
AUGACAACCACAUCCGUUGUUACGAGGACUACGUCAUCUCCAUCGUGUGACACAUCACCAUCGAGGGUGUCUGCAUCAUCUGAGUUGAUCAUAAGAGGUAAUGACAAAGGUACGCAUUUUCCACUUUCACGCAAGAAUGAUGCAUGCCUAGUUAACUUGAAUACAUCAUGUGUCGAGUUACCUGUUGAUUUGAGCACGCCACCUAGUUUAGAGAAUCAUGUUACUAUCAUGAAUGCAUCAUAUGAUCAAACAAUUGAAAUACCAAUAAUUUUGAGUGCGCUCAUUGAAUUAACUGUUGAUAUCAAAGAACCAUGUGAAUCAGGAAAUAAUUCAGAUUUGGAUCAAAUACAUUUUAAAAUAAUUGUGCCAAUGUUUAAUCAUUUUAAUAUGACCUCUAAUCUUGGUGAUCAUUAUGUGUCAAAUGACUUAUUGCAUGUUUUCUUAUUUAAGCAUGUUGUAGCAUGUAAAUUUGAUGCACGUAAGGUUUAUUCACCAAUGUUUGGAUGGUUUAAUGAUGAAUAUUGUCAAUCUUUUGAUAUGAAUAAGAGCUUCACUUAUAUGUGCAAACUGAGUUGCAAUAUUUUCAUCCAUUCUACUUAUGAUAAUAUUUUGGCUUUAUAUUUUAUAAUCUAUGAAGGUUCCUCUUAUAUACAUGGGUCAUAUGUGCAAAAAUCAAGGGAAGUGAAAAUGGAUGACAUAUACAUAUACAACAUGUACACCUUGUCUCUUUUGUUAGCCACAUUUCAGAUUAAGCAACGCCGAGGACGGCUUUGUUUUCAAGAAGGGGAGGAUGAUGAGGACAUGACUACCAUGGAUACGACCAAAAAUAUUGCAUACAUGGGUAUUUGUGAGGUGAUUUCUAAUCCAAACUAUGCAAUAAUUUAUUAA